AGAUGACCACCUCGUGGGUCAUCUCUGGAGAAGUUAGUAUCUGCUGCCCUGAUGAAAAUCCAGCCUCCCCGGAGUAGAUCAGCCGGGAGCCAUUCGGAUCGCCAACCACUUCCGUAAGCUGCUAAACAUUUCCACAAGACACUGAAGCGACAGCGGCUGGGAGGACCUGAACCUCCCAAAACACUGGAUCCUGGAUUUCCCAUUAUGAGCGGAUGUGGAACCAGACUGUUAUCUGAAGCUGCUGAGCCAAACUGACUCAGCAGCUACAGGGUCAGUGAACUUCACCACACCCCUGAGUCUCCUCUGAAUCACCGUGGGACGUUUCCACAGAACAAAAACACAAACAUGUAACAAAAC